ACCAGACUCCUACGGGAGGCAGCAGUGGGGGAUAUUGCACAAUGGGGGGAACCCUGAUGCAGCGACGCCGCGUGGGUGAAGAAGCGCCUCGGCGCGUAAAGCCCUGUCAGCAGGGAAGAAAAUGACGGUACCUGAAGAAGAAGCCCCGGCUAACUACGUGCCAGCAGCCGCGGUACUACGUAGGGGGCAAGCGUUAUCCGGAUUUACUGGGUGUAAAGGGGGCGCAGACGGCGAUGCAAGCCAGGAGUGAAAGCCCGGGGCCCAACCCCGGGACUGCUCUUGGAACUGCGUGGCUGGAGUGCAGGAGGGGCAGGCGGAAUUCCUGGUGUAGCGGUGAAAUGCGUAGAUAUCAGGAGGAACACCGGUGGCGGAGGCGGCCUGCUGGACUGCAACUGACGUUGAGGCCCGAAAGCGUGGGGAGCAAACAGGAUUAGAUACCCCAGUA
rnacentral:rRNA from 1 species